CUGUAUGGCCAUGCUUGUCUCAAUGCACCUGAUCUUAGAAGCAAAGCAGAACUGGGCCUGGGACACCAGGCUGGAUCACCAGCUUCAAAUCCCAGGUAGUGUAUAUU
rnacentral:rRNA from 1 species